UCUUCAUUUCACAUGCUCUCUCAGCGGUCAGAGUGACUAGAGAGAGAGUGGGAAAUGAAGAGA
rnacentral:pre_miRNA from 1 species